AGGUAGUGACAAGAAAUAACAAUACAGGGCAAUUGUCUUGUAAUUGGAAUGAUGGUGACCUAAACCCUCACCAGAGUAACAAUUGGAGGGCAAGUCUGGUGCCAGCAGCCGCGGUAAUUCCAGCUCCAAUAGCGUAUAUUAAACUUGUUGCAGUUAAAAAGCUCGUAGUUGAAUUUUUGCGUCACCGUGUAUCGACAUUUGUCGUUUAUCGGUUUCGCUUUUGGGAUUUAUCCCUUUUUACUUUGAGAAAAUUAGAGUGUUUCAAGCAGACUUUUGUCUUGAAUACUUCAGCAUGGAAUAAUAGAGUAGGACUUUGGUUCUAUUUUGUUGGUUUGUGAACCUUAGUAAUGGUUAAUAGGAACG
rnacentral:rRNA from 1 species